AAAGUCAACAAACUUGUAGAUGAUUGUUCAUCAUUCAAAAAAAAAAAAAAUACAGCACUCGAAAUGAGGGAAGUAGGUUUUUUUUUUUCCUAAGCAGGACGGUCUUUUAUGCUAAGCGUUUCCUCUAAGUUAUGCUAGGUCUCUUCUUCCACUGCCUCCUUGAGAGACAGGGAGAGAGGGAGAUGGUAGCAGUUCCUAAGCCUCAUUUGGUGCGUGUCCCAUUGCCAUUGCAAACACACAUAUAAUCUCCAUGCUAAACCUAGGAAAGCUUCUUCAUAACAAAGGUUUCCACGUAACAUCUGUCAACAGAGUUUAAUCACAACUUGCAGAGCUUUGCAUGGGGACCAGCUAAUGGAAACCACAACUUCUUGCGGAUAACUAGACCAAAUUUGAUCAUGAGGAAAUCACCAUUCUAGCAUAAGAGUUUAUGAAGGAAACCAAAGAGAGAUGUUUCAUAGCAAGUUGUUUCCCACAAGAGCGGGUCCUUAAUCACCCAUCUGUUGGAGGAUUCAUGAACCAUGGUGGAUGGAACUCAGUACUUGAAAGCAUCUCUGCUGGAGUACCAAUGGUUUGUUGGCCUCUUAUGGGACAAACAUUUGAGAAUUCUUAAAAAGUUGCCAUGAAUGGGGUGUUGGCAUGGAGUUGAGUCAUGACUUCAACAGUUAUGAAGUGGAGAAUCUUGUCAAGGAGUUGAUGACAAGAGAGAAGGGAAAACAGAUGAAGAAUAAAGUCGAGGGAUUCCAGAGUAUCAUCGUGUCCUCGAACUUAGACAAUCUAGUGAAUGAAGUCCUGCUAUCCAAAAGUUGAUUACCCUAACCAUAUGCAUCAAUGAAACUGGUUUAUCCAGCUGGUAAUGUUUGUGUUUCUCUGCAUAAUUUGCUUUGAUCCUCUUGAAUAAAGACAAUUACUCACUUCUUUCAGGUCAGGAAGAUGUAGUAACAAAAAAAGAAAAAGAAUUAUUGCUUUCCAAAUUUGUAACUUUAUAUUGGGUUUUCAAGGAUAACAAAAAAUGGUGAUAAGAAUCAGA